CCAAUAGCGUAUAUUAAAGUUGUUGCAGUUAAAAAGCUCGUAGUUGAAUUUCGGGACCAAUAUGUCGGUCGUACUUUGUACGUACUAGCAUCAUUGGUUUCUCCCUUCUGAAGAACCGCGAUGUCAUUAAUUUGGUGUCGUGAGGAAUCAGGACUGUUACUUUGAAAAAAUUAGAGUGUUUAAAGCAGGCUCGCGCUUGAAUACAUUAGCAUGGAAUAAU
rnacentral:rRNA from 1 species